UCUGUCGUAAGCCUUCAAACGUCGCUCCUUCCUCCAUGACUGAAACCCGUAACGCUCUGCUUUUUCUCCUGCGUCGUGACUUCACCUUCCUCCAAACAAAAUUGAAAAACCCUAACCUGGAGGCCUUCCACUGCAAACCUACCGAUCCCUAAUUCCGUCUCAUCAUCAGAGAUUGAAAAUGAGUAGGCGUGGGAGCAGAAUAGUCUACGUUGGGAACCUCCCUGGUGAUAUUCGUGAAAGAGAAGUAGAAGAUUUGUUUUCAAAGAACUGCAUCACACUAACAAAGGAGAAUGUCAAAGGCAUAAUCAUGUGCAUUUAUGAUUGGAGGUAGGAAACUAAUAACCAAUGCACAUUGUGUGGAACAUGAUACACAGGUUAAAGUUAAGAGAAGAGGGGAUGAUACAAAAUACAUGGCUAAGGUGUGUCUC